AACGUUUUGCCUCUUUUCUGGUUUGCUAUACCAGGUGAUGUAAACCCGCAAGCUACCCUGGUCUUG
rnacentral:tRNA from 1 species